rnacentral:rRNA from 1 species
UAAGGAAUAUUGGUCAAUGGACGCAAGUCUGAACCAGCCAUGCCGCGUGAAGGAUGAAGGUCCUCUGGAUUGUAAACUUCUUUUAUCUGGGACGAAAACGGGAUUUUUAUCUCAAUUGACGGUACCAGAGGAAUAAGCACCGGCUAACUCCGUGCCAGCAGCCGCGGUAAUACGGAGGGUGCGAGCGUUAUCCGGAUUUACUGGGUUUAAAGGGUGCGUAGGUGGGCUUAUAAGUCAGUGGUGAAAUCUCCGAGCUUAACUUGGAAACUGCCGUUGAUACUAUAGGUCUUGAAUUAUCCGGAGGUAAGCGGAAUAUGUCAUGUAGCGGUGAAAUGCUUAGAUAUGACAUAGAACACCGAUUGCGAAGGCAGCUUACUACAUAUAAAUUGACGCUGAGGCACGAAAGCGUGGGGA